GUUUGGCAGUGAGUUCAAACACUGCAAAACGCACCUCAUUGUGUUUUAUAUGGAUGCGUCUGGGUUAUUUGUGUUUGGGCAUGUGGUAGCAGCAACCUCACCACACCUGAGUUGAGUUUUUUAGUAAAGCAGAUCACAGCUAUGGCCAGCAAAAAAGUGGAAGUUAAACGCACGCGGGACGCUAAAUCUUCCGUCAGAUACGUUAAUGAAAUGUCAGAAAAGUCCUCCUAAUUUUUUUAUUAUUACAACUCUACCCUCAACCCUAUCAUCUUCUCUUUUACCAGUUACAACAAGUCCAGCCGCUCCUCCACUGUUCUCUCCCUGAAGCACGACAUCCUCCUGUCAAAUGGCAUGAUUGAGCGUUGAAACGUGACAUCGGAUCGGGUUCGUUUCAGCACAUAAAGUAGCUGGAUCUCUUUCAGAAUAGCAGUAGAGGAGUAGUUGGAUUAGGUAAAAAUGAGUCAACAAAGGAAUGAUGGAUGUGAUGAAGCCCCCCAAACAGAGAAGGCAAAUUGGGAGCAGGCUUUGACUGCUAUUUUCCUUGAAAUUUGUGUUGAACGAGUGAAGGCCGGUGAUAGACCUAACACUCACUUUACUCGUGAUGGGUGGAAGAAAAUAAUUUCUUCUUUCUUUGACAAGACUGGUAAGCUAUAUGACCAGCCACAAUUCAAAAAUAAAUGGGACAACCUUAAGAAAGAUUGGCGAGUUUGGGAGAAGUUAG